UAUAAUUAAUUGAUAUAAGGCAACUUUCGAAUAAAAGUUGAAUAAAUAAGCAAAAAAGAUUGAUGAAACAUGUUAUCAUUGACAUAAAAAAAAUCGAUUUUCAAGUUUUACACAAGUUAUUGAGUACAGAGGAAAAUAGUGUGUUUUUAUUUAUUUAUGGUUGUCCCGUCAUAUUCUGUAGUUUUUGAAUGAGGGGUUUUAGCUAUCAAAUUCAAGUUCACCUAUUGGACCCGAUCUCUCAUAUUUUAUUGAUUACAUGGUAAGAUAUAUCUAAAUAACAAAAGGUCUGAAAAAAACAGUCAACAAUGCAUUUGCUCGCUAUAAUGUAUCAAUAUUCCCUCCAUAUUGUAGACCAGAAGCCACAUACAUAUCAUUUAGGUGACCUCUGACGACUACCAACAAACAUAAAAUCAGACAAAAAUUUAGAUAUAGAUGUAGAUAUGAAUAUGAAGAGAAAGCGAGCACGUGCAAUCUGAUUCUCAAGAUCUGUCUUAUUUCAUAUUAUUGGUAAUAAAUAUAUGUAAAUCUUCUUGUUACACGUAUACGAAUGAUUUUGUUGGCCGGAGUCACAGAAAUUGUUACCCUUUAUAGCUUACUGUUCGGUGUGAGCCAAGGCUCCGUGUUGAAGAUCGUACCUUGACCUAUAAUGAUUUACUUUUAUUAAUUGAACAAACCGAGCGCCAUCUGUCGUCAUAAUGAUUGUUAGCAUAAUACAACGUUAAAAUUUAACACUUCGACAUAUAAC
rnacentral:lncRNA from 1 species